rnacentral:rRNA from 1 species
AUUGAACGCAGGCGGCAUGCCUAACACAUGCAAGUCGAACGGCAGCGCGGGUGGCAACACCUGGCGGCGAGUGGCGGACGGGUGAGUAACGCGUGGGAAUCUGCCCUGUAGUGGGGGACAACCUGGGGAAACCCAGGCUAAUACCGCAUACGCUCCAUGGAGGAAAACGGGGGAUCUUCGGACCUCGUGCUAUAGGAUGAGCCCACGUUAGAUUAGCUAGUUGGUAGGGUAAUGGCCUACCAAGGCAACGAUCUAUAGCUGGUCUGAGAGGACGACCAGCCACACUGGGACUGAGACACGGCCCAGACUCCUACGGGAGGCAGCAGUGGGGAAUAUUGGACAAUGGGGGAAACCCUGAUCCAGCGAUGCCGCGUGUGUGAAGAAGGCCUGCGGGUUGUAAAGCACUUUCAGUGGGGACGAUGGGCAGAACGGCUAAUACCCGUUUGUUUGACUUAACCCAAAGAAGAAGCACCGGCUAAUUCCGUGCCAGCAGCCGCGGUAAUACGGG